AGAGUUUGAUCAUGGCUCAGGAUGAACGCUAGUUACAGGCUUAACACAUGCAAGUCGAGGGGAAACGACAUCGAAAGCUUGUCUUUUGAUGGGCGUCGACCGGCGCACGGGUGAGUAACGCGUAUCCAACCUGCCCACCACUUGGGGAUAACCUUGCGAAAGUAAGACUAAUACCCAAUGAUAUCUCUAGAAGACAUCUGAAAGAGAUUAAAGAUUUAUCGGUGAUGGAUGGGGAUGCGUCUGAUUAGCUUGUUGGCGGGGUAACGGCCCACCAAGGCAACGAUCAGUAGGGGUUCUGAGAGGAAGGUCCCCCACAUUGGAACUGAGACACGGUCCAAACUCCUACGGGAGGCAUCA
rnacentral:rRNA from 1 species